rnacentral:rRNA from 1 species
CCUACGGGAGGCAGCAGUGGGGAAUUUUGGACAAUGGGUGAAACCCUGAUCCAGCCAUUCCGCGUGAGUGAAGAAGGCCUUCGGGUUGUAAAGCUCUUUCGGCAGGAACGAAACGGCGGACUCUAACAUAGUCUGUCAAUGACGGUACCUGAAGAAGAAGCACCGGCUAACUACGUGCCAGCAGCCGCGGUAAUACGUAGGGUGCGAGCGUUAAUCGGAAUUACUGGGCGUAAAGCGUGCGCAGGCGGCUUUGUAAGAGGGAGGUGAAAUCCCUGGGCUUAACCGAGGAACUGCGUUCGUGACUGCAAAGCUAGAGUGCGGCAGAGGGGGGUGGAAUUCCUGGUGUAGCAGUGAAAUGCGUAGAGAUCAGGAGGAACACCGGAGGCGAAGGCGGUCCCCUGCCCCUUUACUGACGCU